CUGCACAACGCAGUGGAAAAUAUCAGUGCGAUAGGAGUGUCCAACCCGCACAUACGCCGUUCAAAUUUGUCUUGCAGCUGUCCCAUUUUUUUAUCGUUUUCAUUGGUGACAAGAAGAAACACGUUGCAGAAUUAGCCCGAAGAAGCAGCGCAAAGAAGACUGAUAAUGGACUCCAAGACAGAAACCACAACUGGCACUACUUCCACUACUACAAUGGUGCCAGCUGAUCUUGACAAGAAUAAAGAAGACGAAACAAAGAAAAUCCGAUCAAAUAAGUAAUAUGGCGUUAGGGAAGAGUGCUGUAAACAAAUGUCUUCAGCGACAAGAACUGAAAAUAUCCUCGUAGAUGAAUACAGUAAACUGUCGUAAAGACGCCAAGACGCAGCGUGUACAGCUUGUAGACUAGUUUAGCAUCAUAUAACAAUAGCAAUGAUGUCACGUGAAGCAGUGAUUAUCGUUAUUUCUAUAUACGGAAUUUAGUUCAUUUUAACCGCGCCACAUCAUAAUCACACAAUACUACAGAACUGGCUCUAGUAAUGUCAACUUUUCUUCAAAAUAUUGUAAUACUACUGUUUUUGUUUUGAGACAAACAAUCCUCAAAAUAUUAUAUGUAAUUCUUUCAAUAUUUGUCCACAAUUUUAUUUAAAUUCUUCAACAUGUGUCAUGUUACUGUUGUCUUGACGCCAGACAGUGACGUCAGGGACGGUGUACAUGUUUACCUUAGCCCAUUGUGUCGAAAACAACAAACGCAAUCUACUUGGAGACAUAUUGUGACGGAGAAGUCCAUUUAAAACUGACUAAAUGUCAAAAUACCAGUAAUUCCAUUGUGAUAGAUCCUGCAUACAAGUUUACUAUUUUUUGUUUUUCAUGUCAUACUUCUAUGUAAUGAUAUCUUCCCGUUUGUUCUUAUCUCCAUUGUUAACUUGAUUAUCUUAUAGUUACUAUUGUUUAAUUUCAAAACUAUUGUAUUGUAUUCUUUGUUUUGUCCCGGUACUAUUGUUUUAUCUCGAAACCACUGUAAGAUACUUUAUUUUCGCUUGGAAUUUAUUUCGCUAUUUCUGCUGAACGGAUGAUUCAGUGAAAAUAAAGUCCAACGAAUAUAUAUUUCCCUAUGUUUUACAUUCAACUCUUCAAAUCAAAUCAAAACACAAAACACCCAAAAGGUGUUUUCAGCAAAAAAUAAUUCCAGCUAAAAUAAAGUAUCUUACAUUAUUAUAUUUUGAUCAUUGCUUUGUUCCAAUACUAUUGUACAUUGUCUAUUGUUUUGUUCUAGCAGUAUUGUACAUUGUCUAUUGUUUAGUUCUAGUAGUAUUGUUUGUUGAAUAUAAUAAACGCUAAUAAUUUGCUCUCA